rnacentral:sRNA from 1 species
AUAUCUCUCCGUACGGGAAGGAUGAGAAGCUUCGACCAGGGUACGAUUCGAGCGCAGCGAGAAAGCGUUGCCGCAGGCAACGGCCCGAAGGGCGAAGCGCGCAGCGCUGAGUCAUCCUUCCCCCACCACCA